UUUAAACACGUUCUUACGGUAUAUUUUGUAAUAAUUGAUCACAAAUAGACGCCGGCCGGCUUUUACCCGUUAUUGCACGCGAUGUUUUUUUUUUGGUUUUUUUUUCGGAAGUAGUGCAAACAAUUUAUGUAAAAUAGCAAUCUUAUGCUCAAAUGUAAAUUAGGAAGUCUAUAUUUAAAUCUAUAUAUUAUAGUAGUCAUUAUAUGAGGUACGUUUACUACCGAAUGGCAACGUGCUUUCGAAGUUAAAGGGAGGUACCUGUUUUUCCUAAUAAUAAACGGUACAUUACUUUUAAAUUCUUAAAAAACAAAAAUUAUAUACACUAAUAUAAUAUUUUUAUGUAACUAUGUCUCCUAAUAAGACUUAAUUAAGUGGGCAUACUUUAUGGUGGUAGUCUAUAAGUAGGCUUUAUAUUCGUAAAAGAUUUAAGUAGAUACGUUUCCCAUUUCUGACCCGCUCGUACAUGUACAGUGAAUUUAUUAAAUUUAAUGAUUCCAAUUGUAAUUUUACGAUAGUUAAUUCCUGAUUUGUAAUAUCUAGUAGGAAUAAUUCAAAUACGUAUAUUAAUAAGAUUAGAUGUAAAAAUGGAAAAAUUUGAAUGUUAGGUAAAUUCUAAUUUAUUAUUCGAUCAACAAAAUUACACAUCAAAUAAAGAUUUUGUAAAAUUGGUAUGCGUCUAUUCGAAAUUGGUUUCACGAUGAUAUACUUGUAGGUAUAAUUAUUACGUCUGCAGUCAAUUAAUAUUAAGGAAAAUGAUAGUUACUUUACUGAAAGUCAGAGGCGUCGCAACAUAAUAUGUAAUUGUAAAGACUGCAUUCUAUACUUACCGCAAAUUUUAACCUAUUGAAUUUUUAAUUCUUAACUCAGUCUAUCCAAAGACCAAACGAUCUAGAAUGUGCAUUAAUAAAAAUGCUUUUUUUUAUGUUCAAUUCAGUUUAAACUUUAACUACACAAAUAUACACGUAGGUAGAAAAAGUACUGAAAUUUUAAUUUUCACUCGAAAUUGUGCUAUAAAACGUAUAGGUGCUAUUAAUUUGAUCCCGAAAUUAAAAAAAAAUAACUAAAGUAUUUCGCAAAAAUUGGAUGAAGGUAUAAAAAAAAUCGGCACCAAACACGGUAGGUACAUUUCCCUAUUCUAUACAUAUUCGUAAUUUUAGAUUACAUCGCAGGUACAAAAUACGCAGGCUACAACGAAGGUAGAAUUAUAUAAAAUGUUACCUUUGAACAGUUACUGGACAUUGGCUGGACAGGAUUAUAAAAAAAGCAUCGGUUUAUACACCCUCAAUAUUAAUGAUAAAGCUCUUGAUUCUUAUAAUUUAGAUUAUACGUAAUAGGAUCAAUCGUAUGACUUACAUUAACCUUGAUAAGAGCUAAAUACCUCAGGAGAUGACUCAGAUGCAAAACCUGUGAUGGAAACAAAAUGUGAUCUGUCUAGGAAAUUCAAUGCUGGUGUAUUUCUAAAAGCUUGCAUUGAAUAUACCGCAAGAUGCCUAUAUUAUCGUUUUAUAUUAGUUCUUCAUUUUAAAUGCAACAUUGACAUUG